rnacentral:rRNA from 1 species
GUGCUUAACACAUGCAAGUCGAACGAAGCGCUUGGAUGGAAUUCUUUGGAAGGAAGCUCAAGUGACUGAGUGGCGGACGGGUGAGUAACGCGUGGGUAACCUGCCUCAUACAGGGGGAUAACAGUUAGAAAUGACUGCUAAUACCGCAUAAGCACACGUGAUCGCAUGAUCGAGUGUGAAAAACUCCGGUGGUAUGAGAUGGACCCGCGUCUGAUUAGCUAGUUGGUGGGGUAAUGGCCCACCAAGGCGACGAUCAGUAGCCGGCCUGAGAGGGUGAACGGCCACAUUGGGAUUGAGACACGGCCCAAACUCCUACGGGAGGCAGCAGUGGGGAAUAUUGCACAAUGGGGGAAACCCUGAUGCAGCGACGCCGCGUGAAGGAUGAAGUAUUUCGGUAUGUAAACUUCUAUCAGCAGGGAAGAAAAUGACGGUACCUGACUAAGAAGCCCCGGCUAACUACGUGCCAGCAGCCGCGGUAAUACGUAGGGGGCAAGCGUUAUCCGGAUUUACUGGGUAUAAAGGGAGCGUAGACGGCAGUGCAAGUCUGAAGUGAAAGCCCGGGGCUCAACCCCGGGACUGCUUUGGAAACUGUGCAGCUAGAGUGUCGGAGAGGCAAGCGGAAUUCCUAGUGUAGCGGUGAAAUGCGUAGAUAUUAGGAGGAACACCAGUGGCGAAG